GAUGAACGCUGGCGGCGUGCCUAAUACAUGCAAGUCGAGCGGUAAGGCCCCUUCGGGGGUACACGAGCGGCGGACGGCUGAGUAACACGUAGGAACGUACCCCAAACUGAGGGAUAAGCACCAGAAAUGGUGUCUAAUACCGCAUGUGGCCCACCGGCUAAAGCUUCGGCGGUUUGGGAACGGCCUGCGUCCGAUUAGCUUGUUGGUGAGGUAAUGGCUCACCAAGGCGACGAUCGGUGGCUGGUCUGAGAGGAUGAUCAGCCAGACUGGGACUGAGAACGGCCCAGACUCCUACGGGAGGCAGCAGUAGGGAAUUUUCCACAAUGGGCGAAAGCCUGAUGGAGCAACGCCGCGUGCAGGAUGAAUGCCUUCGGGUUGUAAACUGCUUUUAUCUGUGACGAAUAUGACGGUAGCAGAUGAAUAAGGAUCGGCUAACUCCGUGCCAGCAGCCGCCGUAA
rnacentral:rRNA from 1 species